rnacentral:rRNA from 1 species
GACGAACGCUGGCGGCGUGCUUAACACAUGCAAGUCGAACGAAGAGCGAUGGAAGCUUGCUUCUAUCAAUCUUAGUGGCGAACGGGUGAGUAACGCGUAAUCAACCUGCCCUUCAGAGGGGGACAACAGUUGGAAACGACUGCUAAUACCGCAUACGAUCUAAUCUCGGCAUCGAGGAUAGAUGAAAGGUGGCCUCUACAUGUAAGCUAUCACUGAAGGAGGGGAUUGCGUCUGAUUAGCUAGUUGGAGGGGUAACGGCCCACCAAGGCGAUGAUCAGUAGCCGGUCUGAGAGGAUAAACGGCCACAUUGGGACUGAGACAAGGCCCAGACUCCUACGGGAGGCAGCAGUGGGGAAUCUUCCGCAAUGGACGAAAGGCUGACGGAGCAACGCCGCGCGAGUGAUGACGGCCUUCGGGUUGUAAAGCUCUGUUAAUCGGGACGAAAGGCCUUCUUGCGAAUAGUGAGAAGGAUUGACGGUACCGGAAUAGAAAGCCACGGCUAACUACGUG